rnacentral:rRNA from 1 species
GGGUUGUGAGGUUAAGCGACUAAGCGUACACGGUGGAUGCCCUGGCAGUCAGAGGCGAUGAAGGACGUGCUAAUCUGCGAUAAGCGUCGGUAAGGUGAUAUGAACCGUUAUAACCGGCGAUUUCCGAAUGGGGAAACCCAGUGUGAUUCGUCACACUAUCAUUAACUGAAUCCAUAGGUUAAUGAGGCGAACCGGGGGAACUGAAACAUCUAAGUACCCCGAGGAAAAGAAAUCAACCGAGAUUCCCCCAGUAGCGGCGAGCGAACGGCGAGCAGCCCAGAGCCUGAAUCAGUGUGUGUGUUAGUGGAAGCGUCUGGAAAGGCGCGCGAUACAGGGUGACAGCCCCGUACAAAAAAAUGCACAUGCUGUGAGCUCGAUGAGUAGGGCGGGACACGUGGUAUCCUGUCUGAAUAUGGGGGGACCAUCCUCCAAGGCUAAAUACUCCUGACUGACCGAUAGUGAACCAGUACCGUGAGGGAAAGGCGAAAAGAACCCCGGCGAGGGGAGUGAAAAAAGAACCUGAAACCGUGUACGUACAAGCAGUGGGAGCACGCUUAGGCGUGUGACUGCGUACCUUUUGUAUAAUGGGUCAGCGACUUAUAUUCUGUAGCAAGGUUAACCGAAUAGGGGAGCCGAAGGGAAACCGAGUCUUAACUGGGCGUUAAGUUGCAGGGUAUAGACCCGAAACCCGGUGAUUCAGCCAUGGGCAGGUUGAAGGUUGGGUAACACUAACUGGAGGACCGAACCGACUAAUGUUGAAAAAUUAGCGGAUGACUUGUGGCUGGGGGUGAAAGGCCAAUCAAACCGGGAGAUAGCUGGUUCUCCCCGAAAGCUAUUUAGGUAGCGCCUCGUGAAUUCAUCUCGGGGGGGUAGAGCACUGUUUCGGCAAGGGGGUCAUCCCGACUUACCAACCCGAUGCAAACUGCGAAUACCGGAGAAUGUUAUCACGGGAGACACACGGCGGGUGCUAACGUCCGUCGUGAAGAGGGAAACAACCCAGACCGCCAGCUAAGGUCCCAAAGUCAUGGUUAAGUGGGAAACGAUGUGGGAAGGCCCAGACAGCCAGGAUGUUGGCUUAGAAGCAGCCAUCAUUUAAAGAAAGCGUAAUAGCUCACUGGUCGAGUCGGCCUGCGCGGAAGAUGUAACGGGGCUAAACCAUGCACCGAAGCUGCGGCAGCGACGCUUAUGCGUUGUUGGGUAGGGGAGCGUUCUGUAAGCCUGUGAAGGUGUGCUGUGAGGCAUGCUGGAGGUAUCAGAAGUGCGAAUGCUGACAUAAGUAACGAUAAAGCGGGUGAAAAGCCCGCUCGCCGGAAGACCAAGGGUUCCUGUCCAACGUUAAUCGGGGCAGGGUGAGUCGACCCCUAAGGCGAGGCCGAAAGGCGUAGUCGAUGGGAAACAGGUUAAUAUUCCUGUACUUGGUGUUACUGCGAAGGGGGGACGGAGAAGGCUAUGUUGGCCGGGCGACGGUUGUCCCGGUUUAAGCGUGUAGGCUGGUUUUCCAGGCAAAUCCGGAAAAUCAAGGCUGAGGCGUGAUGACGAGGCACUACGGUGCUGAAGCAACAAAUGCCCUGCUUCCAGGAAAAGCCUCUAAGCAUCAGGUAACAUCAAAUCGUACCCCAAACCGACACAGGUGGUCAGGUAGAGAAUACCAAGGCGCUUGAGAGAACUCGGGUGAAGGAACUAGGCAAAAUGGUGCCGUAACUUCGGGAGAAGGCACGCUGAUAUGUAGGUGAAGUCCCUCGCGGAUGGAGCUGAAAUCAGUCGAAGAUACCAGCUGGCUGCAACUGUUUAUUAAAAACACAGCACUGUGCAAACACGAAAGUGGACGUAUACGGUGUGACGCCUGCCCGGUGCCGGAAGGUUAAUUGAUGGGGUCAGCGCAAGCGAAGCUCUUGAUCGAAGCCCCGGUAAACGGCGGCCGUAACUAUAACGGUCCUAAGGUAGCGAAAUUCCUUGUCGGGUAAGUUCCGACCUGCACGAAUGGCGUAAUGAUGGCAGGCUGUCUCCACCCGAGACUCAGUGAAAUUGAACUCGCUGUGAAGAUGCAGUGUACCCGCGGCAAGACGGAAAGACCCCGUGAACCUUUACUAUAGCUUGACACUGAACAUUGAGCCUUGAUGUGUAGGAUAGGUGGGAGGCUUAGAAGUGUGGACGCCAGUCUGCAUGGAGCCGACCUUGAAAUACCACCCUUUAAUGUUUGAUGUUCUAACGUUGACCCGUAAUCCGGGUUGCGGACAGUGUCUGGUGGGUAGUUUGACUGGGGCGGUCUCCUCCUAAAGAGUAGUAACGGAGGAGCACGAAGGUUGGCUAAAUCCGGUCGGACAUCAGGAGGUUAGUGCAAUGGCAUAAGCCAGCUUGACUGCGAGCGUGACGGCGCGAGCAGGUGCGAAAGCAGGUCAUAGUGAUCCGGUGGUUCUGAAUGGAAGGGCCAUCGCUCAACGGAUAAAAGGUACUCCGGGGAUAACAGGCUGAUACCGCCCAAGAGUUCAUAUCGACGGCGGUGUUUGGCACCUCGAUGUCGGCUCAUCACAUCCUGGGGCUGAAGUAGGUCCCAAGGGUAUGGCUGUUCGCCAUUUAAAGUGGUACGCGAGCUGGGUUUAGAACGUCGUGAGACAGUUCGGUCCCUAUCUGCCGUGGGCGCUGGAGAACUGAGGGGGGCUGCUCCUAGUACGAGAGGACCGGAGUGGACGCAUCACUGGUGUUCGGGUUGUCAUGCCAAUGGCACUGCCCGGUAGCUAAAUGCGGAAGAGAUAAGUGCUGAAAGCAUCUAAGCACGAAGCUUGCCCCGAGAUGAGUUCUCCCUGACUCCUUGAGAGUCCUGAAGGAACGUUGAAGACGACGACGUUGAUAGGCCGGGUGUGUAAGCGCAGCGAUGCGUUGAGCUAACCGGUACUAAUGAACCGUGAGGCUUAACCUUACAACGCCGAAGCUGUU